UUAGAGGAGUAAAGUUCUCAAAAGAAUCAAUAGAAGGGUGGUGGGGGAGGAGAAGCGUACGAGAUGCUGACCACAGGUGGUAAAGGCCCUUCAUAUACAGGGGCAGGUGGUGGUUGAUAAUGAACUGGGGGUGGUGGUGAAGCAUAAACAUAGGCUGGUGGUGGUGGAGGAGAAACAUAGGCUGGUGGUGUAUAAUGAACUGGGGAAGGUGGUGGCAGGUAAGGUGCAGGGUGUGGUGAGGGUGGUGGAGGUGAGUGUUCUUCACAUGGUGGUGGAGAUGAUGGUGGUGGUGGUGGUGGGGGUUCUAUACAAG
rnacentral:lncRNA from 1 species